rnacentral:rRNA from 1 species
GUUUUCCUACGGGGGGCAGCAGUAGGGAAUAUUGCUCAAUGGGGGAAACCCUGAAGCAGCAACGCCGCGUGGAGGAUGACGGCCUUCGGGUUGUAAAGCUCUGUCUUCAGGGACGAUAAUGACGGUACCUGAGGAGGAAGCCACGGCUAACUACGUGCCAGCAGCCGCGGUAAUACGUAGGUGGCGAGCGUUGUCCGGAUUUACUGGGCGUAAAGGGAGCGUAGGCGGACUUUUAAGUGAGAUGUGAAAUACUCGGGCUCAACUUGAGUGCUGCAUUUCAAACUGGAAGUCUAGAGUGCAGGAGA